UAUUAGCUCGGUUGGUUAGAGCGCACCCCUGAUAAGGGUGAGGUCUCUGGUUCAAAUCCA
rnacentral:tRNA from 16 species